rnacentral:rRNA from 1 species
UACAGAGGUCUCGAGCGUUAGGCGGAAUCACUGGGCUUAAAGCGUGUGUAGGUGGAUCGUUAAGUACCUUGUGAAAUCCCACGGCUUAACCGUGGAACUGCUUGGUAUACUGGGCGGUCUUGAGCCAGCUAGGGGCUACCGGAACAAAUGGUGGAGCGGUGAAAUGCGUAGAUAUCUGGAGGAACAUCGGUGGCGAAGGCGGCAUCCUGGACCGGCAUUGACGCUGAGGCGCGAAAGCUAGGGGAGCAAACGGGG